GAUGAACGCUGGCGGCGUGCCUAAUACAUGCAAGUCGAGCGAACAGACGAGGAGCUUGCUCCCCUGACGUUAGUGGCGGACGGGUGAGUAACACGUGGAUAACCUACCUAUAAGCCUGGGAUAACUUCGGGCAACCGGAGCUCAUACCGGAUACUAUCUUGAACCGCAUGGUUCAAUAGUGAAAGACGGUUGUGUUGUCACUUAUAGAUGGAUCCGCACCGCAUCAACUAGUUGGUAAGGUAACGGCUUACCAAGGCAAAGACGCGUAGCCGACCUGAUAGAGUGAUCGGCCACACUGGAACUGAGACACGGUCCAGACUCCUACGGGUGGCAGCAGUAGGGAAUCUUCCUCAAUGGGCGAAAGCCUGACGGAGCAACGCCGCAUGAGUGAUGAAGGCCUUCGGAUCGUAAAACUCUGUUAUUAGGGAAGAACAAAUGUGUAAGUAACUAUGCACGUCUUUACGGUACCUAAUCAGAAAGCCACGGCUAACUACGUGCCAGCCGCCGCUGUAA
rnacentral:rRNA from 1 species